GACGAACCGUGCGAACGUUAUUCGGAAUCAUUGGGCUUAAAGGGCGCGUAGACGGGCCGGCGCAUCGGACGCUGAAAGCCCCCGGCUUAACCGGGGAACAGGCGCCGAGAUGGCCGGCCUCGAGUGGAGGAGAGGGACCUGGAACUGCCGGUGGAGCGGUGAAAUGCGUUGAGAUCGGCAGGAACGCCGACGGCGAAAGCAGGGUCCUGGACUCCCACUGACGUUGAGGCGCGAAAGCCAGGGUAGCGAACGGG
rnacentral:rRNA from 1 species